ACUCCUACGGGAGGCAGCAGUGGGGAAUAUUGGACAAUGGGCGAAAGCCUGAUCCAGCAAUGCCGCGUGAGGGAUGACGGCCUUCGGGUUGUAAACCUCUUUCAGCAGGGACGAAGCGAAAGUGACGGUACCUGCAGAAGAAGCACCGGCCAACUACGUGCCAGCAGCCGCGGUAAU
rnacentral:rRNA from 1 species